ACAAAAGGCUCAGUUGUUCUUGUCA
rnacentral:piRNA from 1 species